rnacentral:rRNA from 1 species
UACGGAGGGUGCAAGCGUUAUCCGGAUUCACUGGGUUUAAAGGGAGCGUAGGUGGGUCUGUAAGUCAGUGGUGAAAUCUCCGGGCUUAACCUGGAAACUGCCAUUGAUACUAUAGGUCUUGAAUAUUGUGGAGGUUAGCGGAAUAUGUCAUGUAGCGGUGAAAUGCGUAGAUAUCAAGUGGAACACCAGUGGCGAAGGCGAGUCUCUGGACAUUUCCUGACGCUGAGGCACGAAAGCCAGGGGAGCAAACGGG